rnacentral:lncRNA from 1 species
AUAUAUUUCAAAUUACAGUGCUGUGCUGGCUUUCCUGUAGGUCAGUAAGUCAGGACCUGGGAUGGGACGGACGGACAGGAGGACGGGGCCGGCGCCUGGGCACUAACAUCUCUGUCAGCUCAGAUAAAUUGCACAGCCCUGGUCCCAGAUCCCCAGUCUUCAAAGCCAGCGUGUCAGGUUACAUUUUAUAAGGAGAAACUCAGAUUCAAAGGACUCAGAGAGAUAAUCUAGUCUUAGCUCAGAGACACUUAAGAAUGUACUUUUGAUAUUUAUGUGCUUUAUUUUCACAGGCGUCUCCUUUGCCAGUCCUUUUGUAGGUCAGGGCUUCAAACCUGUGAGCGUCAUCCUUCCGCCACGGAGCCAGCCUGGUUUAUAGCUGGAAGCGCGCCCGCUCCUUCCUCUUCCUCUCGAGACAGUUCUGCCCCGUCAGGGCCAACUGGCGAUCCCACGUCCAGCUGGCGUGGUCGCGUGUGCCUCUGUCUCUCUGUGAGGGGCUCUUCUGUGUGGAGCCCUGGCGGUGGGGCCUCUGUGAAGCUCGCCGGACAGUGUAACUUGUAAUUUAUUCCCUCGCGUAUAAAUCUGUUGCAAGCUUUCUCAAUCACUGCAGAACUUGCUGGUACAAUUCCAUGUUUAACUAGAGGCAUCUGGUGCCUCUGCUGUUUACUAAAACCCUUCAUUUCACUUCAUAAAACAGUUGGCCCAGUGUGGCUCUCCUUCCUCAGGCCACCUCCCAGCCCGCUCCGUUGUGAGCUGAAGAUUAUUUUGUGGUAGAAAGGUCUUCCACAGGAGACCCCUUUGUGCAUUUUCACCGAUUCAGAGAGUCAGUCCAAACUCUAGCCGAUUGCCUUCUAUUUGAGUCGCUUGGGUAUCUUAAUGGGCUUUGAGCACAUUGGUCAAUCCUCCCUCAGAGAAUCAUGAGGCAUUUCCCAGAACACUUGCUCCAGAAGAAUUGCACCACUGACUCCUGGCUACCGUCUGCUAACAGCCAGAACAUGGUCAGGAGGCACCCACGUACAGAUGAAAGCUUAUCGUCUGGCUCCUGGCAGAAAUCCUUCCCAGUGCGACCUCCUUCGCUUGAAUCUUCUCUAAACAACAUCUGUUCAAAUGGUGCUUCAGAACCGUCUUCUCACGUGUAAUGAAGGACACCAAGACUCCCUGUUAAUUGAAAUGUUUGUCUUCAUUUCCAAAGCUUGGCGUUCUCCCCCUUCCCUACCUGUUUCUUCGGAGAGUUUUUAGAAUUUCGUCUGGGCAGACCCAUCUGCCAAGCGUCCCCUCCUCUGUUCAUAUCUUUUGGCCACCAUUUGGCUUUGCCCUGAUUUGAUUUGUAAGAGAGAAAUCUCUGUUUCCACCAAAAGAAAGAAAAGAAAUAAAAGCUAAACCAAAAUGAAACCUUUGGUAUUG